rnacentral:sRNA from 1 species
UUGGAAGGUGGGGCCCCAUGGGUUGUGU